GCUUACCAUGCAGUCGAACGGCAGCACGGGAGUAAUCCUGGUGGCGAGUGGCGAACGGGUGAGUAAUAUAUCGGAACGUGCCCAGUCGUGGGGGAUAACGCAGCGAAAGCUGUGCUAAUACCGCAUACGAUCUACGGAUGAAAGCGGGGGAUCGCAAGACCUCGCGCGAUUGGAGCGGCCGAUAUCAGAUUAGCUAGUUGGUGGGGUAAAAGCCCACCAAGGCGACGAUCUGUAGCUGGUCUGAGAGGACGACCAGCCACACUGGAACUGAGACACGGUCCAGACUCCUACGGGAGGCAGCAGUGGGGAAUUUUGGACAAUGGGCGCAAGCCUGAUCCAGCAAUGCCGCGUGAAGGAUGAAGGUUCUCGGAUUGUAAACUUCUGUUAAGUGGGAAGAAAAGCUCGCAAGAGUAUGACGGUACCACUUGAGUAAGCACCGGCUAACUACGUGCCAGCAGCCGCGGUAAUACGUAGGGUGCAAGCGUUGUUCGGAAUUACUGGGCGUAAAGAGAGCGUAGGUGGAAUCAUAAGUUAGGAGUUUAAUCUAUGGGCUCAACCCAUAGUCUGCUUUUAAUACUGUGGUUCUUGAGUAUGGGAGAGGGUGAUGGAAUUCCAGGUGUAGCGGUGGAAUGCGUAGAUAUCUGGAAGAACACCAGUAGCGAAGGCGGUCGCCUGGCCCAAUACUGACACUGAGGCUCGA
rnacentral:rRNA from 1 species